CUGGCGAAGCAUGUGCACGUCCAACCUUUUCUAUUACACACCCGUGCACCUUUUGUAGGUCCUCGAAAGAGGAUCUAUGUAUUUCAUCAUCACACCUAUCGUAUGUCUAGAAUGUCAUCGUCGACCACUGGGCGGCGAAAUAAAUAAUACAACUUUCAGCAACGGAUCUCUUGGCUCUCGCAUCGAUGAAGAACGCAGCGAAUUGCGAUAAGUAAUGUGAAUUGCAGAUUUUCAGUGAAUCAUCGAAUCUUUGAACGCACCUUGCGCUCCUUGGUAUUCCGAGGAGCAUGCCUGUUUGAGUGUCAUUAAAUUCUCAACCAUGACUUUGUUGACAUGGCUUGGAGUUGGGGGUUGCUGGCUUGUUUGUCAGCUCUCCUGAAAUACAUUAGCGGUGGACAAGCAAGGCCUUCCGACGUGAUAAUGAUCGUCGUGGGGCGGAGCAUCAACGUCUGUCUGCUUCUAAAUCCCAGAUGCCUUAGCUAGACAUCAUUUCGAACGCUUGACCUCAAAUCAGGUAGGACUACCCGCUGAACUUAAGCAUAUCAAUAAAGCGGAG
rnacentral:rRNA from 1 species